CUGUCAGUUGGGAAUCCCUCUAUAUAGGAAGAGAGAGAGAGAUGAAUAUGGCAGUCUCUUCCGACCGAGACAGGAAUAAUAGACCCCUGUGUGUAGGGCUGCAACGUACGGGCACGAUCCUGCCAACGCAAGGGCGUCUUAAGAACGCAAGCUUAGGAGUUCCGGAGGGGAAUGCUGACGGGAGAGGCCCAGGGGCAGAUCCGUAUAUCCUCUAGAGGCAGGAAAACGAGAUUCAAAAUGUUCAAGAGACCGUUUUCAAAGUCUCCUGGCUAAGGAUCUUCCCCACGUAGCAGCAGAACGUGCCCAGACUCCAUAGAGACGUAUGCAAAAGGAAAGUGCGCCUCGGCAAGAACCGCUCACUGAGCCACAAACAACUCUGGAUCAAGCCAGCCACAAAUGUCAUUUUUGUGGCCUCCUCAUUGAUCUACUGAGUCCUGGAGAGUAACCUACCGGAUCCAGGAAGCCCGAAACCUCCAAAUAACUCCAAUGACCUUAGGAGAACAAGCCAGGAAGGCGUUUUGAGUGUUGGCUAGAAGAGCAUAUUAAAAUACAAGGCAUUCUCUGUAGUAAAAACUGGGUACCUCAUUCCAGCUGUCUAUAUAUAUUCCUUCCCAGCACUAAAUCUGUCCAGGGACCUUUCAGAAAUACAACAUUAAGCCUCAUGCCUUCGCUUAGUGAAUAGAAAUGUGAAAAGGAUGGAGAUAAAAAUCAGAGGGACAUACAAUAGCGAAUGUUCUAUGAUUUAAUCACCAUUACAGCUUAAAACAGCCCAGCCGACAUUCACCCUUGGUAAGGCAGGGAUAAAUCUCAGCCGAUGGCCUCCUUCAAAGAGUGACGGCACCGUCGUUUCAGGCCCUUUUUUAGAAGGGAGGCCCCCCGACGCAGCACAAAGAAGAUAGCUGAAGGGCACCGGAAGUGGCGGGCUUCAAGAACCAAGGUCCAAUUGACCUUCCUCGCAAUGACACAAC